rnacentral:rRNA from 1 species
UACAGAGGUCCCAAGCGUUGUUCGGAUUCACUGGGCGUAAAGGGUGCGUAGGUGGUGAGGUAAGUCGGAUGUGAAAGCUCGGAGCUCAACUCCGAAAUGGCAUUGGAAACUACCUUGCUCGAGGGUUGGAGGGGGGACUGGAAUACUUGGUGUAGCAGUGAAAUGCGUAGAUAUCAAGUGGAACACCAGUGGCGAAGGCGAGUCCCUGGACAACUCCUGACGCUGAGGCACGAAAGCUAGGGGAGCAAACAGG